GGCUGGUCUGAUGGUAGUGGAUUAUGAGAACUUAUUAACAUCAGUGUCACUAAAGUUGGUAUUCAACCCCCCACUGCUAAAUUUUACUGGCUUAAA
rnacentral:Y_RNA from 1 species